AUGCCCCUACCCUACAGCCACCCCCAACUAGCUGUCAUCUGCUCCAGCUCCGGGUUGGGUAUUUGGAGCUUAGCUCCUUCAGACUCCUUGAAAACCUACCCAGGGGCUCUUGGCCUCACCCCUGGCCAAUCCCACCCAGGGAUGGAAGUUUGGGCAGGGGUGGGAACUUCUUCCUUAUGGUGGGUCCGGGGUUCCUGCUCGACCCUCCCAUCUUCUCCUCUACUUGUUGUCAAUUGGACAGCGUCGCUACCUAUAUGUGCGCAUCUCAGCAACGCCAUCCAGGCUGGAAGCGUCAGCCAAGUUUUCUUCGAAGUGCUCCUUGGAGGUCCCUUUGAAUAUGGCUGUUUUGAAGACAAAACGGCAGGAUUCCUUCCAGAAGGCAUUGAAGGAAGUGGUGUCAAGUGGCCCUGGUGUCAAAUGGCUGUCAACCGAACAGUGAAUGGUAGGGAAGGUGUUUAAAAGGCUUUUUAUGUGUGUCCCCUGCCCCUCCAGCACAAGGACGAGGCUCCCCACUCGCCCCAUCUUUGCCUCUCGUCUCCCACCUUUCCCUGCACCCAAGCACUCCUUGAUCUCAGAACCUGGCUCUGCUGCUGGGAGGUGACAGUGGACUGCCCUACCCUCCUGCCUCUCCCAGGUUGUCCCUUGACCAUCCAUCCUGUCACUUCCUUCCUGGCCUUCGGGGUCACUUUGUCCACAACAUCCACACUUCCAGUGUCUCCUGUAGGAAUUGAGCAUUUUAACCCAUCAGAUGGGGCUCAGGCUCUGCUCUCUGACAUCGUUGCUCCCUCCGGGCUCUAUGAGCGUCCCUUAACCCUUGAGGACGCUGCAGAAUCCAGGAUCCUGAAAAGAACAUGGGCUUGGGGUCAGAAAGAUCUGGGUUUGAAACUGGUUCCUUGAACUCACUAGCUGUGUGUCUUUGGGCAAGUCACUCAACCUCUCUGAGCCUGUCUCCUCAUUUGAAAUGUGGAGAUUUGGAGAGUCCUCCUGGGGGUUAACAUGCUCAUGGACCAGAUCCAUUUCCUACACAUCCUGAGUGCUCAAGCCAUGGCAGUCCUUCACCCUGUCUGCCCACCUCCCCCAUCCCCUUCCUAGGUGUGGAGAAGAGGAAGACGCUGGACUGGCUGGCUCCGGUGCGGGGCUGCCUGGCAGACAGGAGAGGCUUCAGCCCCAGAGUGCAAAGAGUCCUGUGAGUCUUCGCCUCACUGCAAGGAGCAGCGCAAUCCAGGGGGCCCCUAGGGUGGAGGUGGGGGUAGGGGUAAGAAUUGCGGUCAAGGAUGUCAUCCUUCUGAGCCAGGAGCUGUCAUUAGUUGUUCUGGCCCAUAAUUGGGCUGUAACUACCCUCUGACCCAAGAUGAGUUUGGGGACCGUGAUUAUCUGUGAUUAGUCUCUUCGUGCCUUAGAAUGCUGAUUCCACACUGUCUCCUUCCCACCCCCUACCCCAGCCCUUCUAGAAGGGCCU
rnacentral:lncRNA from 1 species